UCUCUCUCCCUCUAUCUUCUUUCUUCUUUCUUCUCUCUCUACCCGCUCCCUCAAUCGCAGAAGCCAUCCCCCUUCCGUCGCUCUCUCUCCGGCUCGACGCCGCCGUCGGAGCUGCCGCGGCGGUCGCCAGGAAGUCGCCAGCUGCUGCUGCCUCGCCGCCUCUGUCCGUCCGCCGUCGCAGAGUCGCCGGGAGAAGCUGCUGCCGCAGCGAGGAGGAACGCCGCCGUCGCCCGCUGCAGCUCGCCGUCGGUCGUCGCUCCUGGAGUGGAGGCAACCCAGCCGCUGGAGCGGCCACCCUCCUGCCGUCGCCGGGAGUCCAGCCGCCGGCCAGGCACCGCGCAGCCCCGAACACGCCCGGAACCACCCCGAAACGUCCCGCAAUAUACGUUAUCAUUAUAAAGUUAAGUUCUUUUGUGUUUUUUAUUUCAUACGGCAACUAUUCGAUUUGUUUCAAUUGCUAAAUUGUUGAGUUGGUUAAGGAAAAGAAAAUUGUGAAAUGAUGUAUGAUAGAGAUGCUAAGACUCAUGCUUUGGGGAUUAGAUUAUACCUCAAACAAAGAUUGAACUUGGUGGUGGAUGAGCAAGAAUGGUAGCAAGGAUUAAUGAGGAAGAUGGAAGUUUUGAAAGGCGGAGGGUCUCCAUGAACAAAGGAACCGGCCGAGAGGGAAAGAAAAAGAAGGAAGAAGAGUUCUUGGGCUUACCCCAUUUUCUUGGAGAGAUAUUGGGCUCCAAUUAAAUUAAUUACAUGUUGUUGGGCUCAAAUGUUGUAAGCCCAAGUUGGUGUUACUAUUAUUAUUUAGUGGAUUUAAAAUAA